AUGGCUCAUUUGAAUUCUGCUUUACUUCUCACUCUCCUUUUCUUGAUCAUAUAUUCCUUACCGUCUUCUAUAGAUGCUCGAAAGAUUCUCAAAAUGGAGACACAAGAGCUGCCUUCUAUAAAGGACACCCUACCUUUAGAUGAUGUUUUUAAUAAUCUCAAUAUAUAUAGAAAUGGAAGACUCGUUGCUCAUCUUGCUAACAAUGGAAGAGUUCUAGUAUCUUCUGUUCCUAGUCCAGGUGCUGGACACUAG
rnacentral:lncRNA from 1 species